rnacentral:rRNA from 1 species
UACGAAGGGGGCUAGCGUUGUUCGGAUUUACUGGGCGUAAAGCGCACGUAGGCGGAUGUGCCAGUCAGGGGUGAAAUCCUGGAGCUCAACUCCAGAACUGCCUUUGAUACUGGAGAGCUUGAGUCCGGAAGAGGUGAGUGGAACUCCGAGUGUAGAGGUGAAAUUCGUAGAUAUUCGGAAGAAACACCAGUGGCGAAGGCGGCUCACUGGUCCGGUACUGGACGCUGAGGUGCGAAAAGCGUGGGGGAGCAAAACAG